GACGAACGCUGGCGGCGUGCUUAACACAUGCAAGUCGAACGGAAAGGCCCUGCUUUUGUGGGGAGCUCGAGUGGCGAACGGGUGAGUAACACGUGAGUAACCUGCCCUUGACUGUGGGAUAACUUCAGGAAACUGGGGCUAAUACCGGAUAGGAGCUCCUGCUGCAUGGUGGGGGUGGGAAAGUUUCGGCGGUUGGGGUUGGACUCGCGGCUUAUCAGCUUGUUGGUGGGGUAGUGGCUUACCAAGGCCUUGACGGGUAGCCGGCCUGAGAGGGGGACCGGCCCAGUUGGGACUGAGAUGCGGCACAGCCUCCUACGGGAGGCAGCAGUGGGGAAUAUUGCACUAUGGGCGGAAGCCUGAUGCAGCACCGCCGCGUGCGGGAUGACGGCCUUCGGGUUGUAAUCCGCUUUCGCCUGUGACGAAGCGUGAGUGACGGUAAUGGGUAAAGAAGCACCGGCUAACUACGUG
rnacentral:rRNA from 1 species